rnacentral:rRNA from 1 species
AACGAACGCUGGCGGCAGGCCUAACACAUGCAAGUCGAACGAAGUCUUCGGACUUAGUGGCGUCCGGGUGUGUCACCCGUGGGAAUAUUCAUUCCGCUGGGGGAUAACAAUGGGAAACUGAUGCCAUUACCGCACACGACCUACGGGGGAAAGAUUUAUCGGCGAACAAUUAGCCCGCGUCCGAUUAGCUAGUUGGUACGGUAAUGGCUCACUAAGGGCCCGAUCGGCAGCUGGUCUGAGAGGCAGCCCAGCCACACUACGACUGAGACACGGCCCAGACUCCUACGGGAUGCAGCAGUGGGGAAUAGUGGACAAUGGGCGCAAGCCUGAUCCAGCCAUGCUGCGUGAGUGAUGAAGGCCUUAGGGUUGUAAAGCUCUUGCACCCACGACGAUGAUGACGGUAGUGAGAGAAGAAGCCCCGGCUAACUUCGUG